rnacentral:lncRNA from 1 species
GGCGGGGCUGGGCGGGACUGGAACCGGCACUUGGCACCCCUUACGCCUUACGGUGGCCGCUGCGCCCAGUCACAUCUAUUGCAUUUCUCUGGAAUGACCACAGCAAUAUUUCCAGCCCUUGAUGAUCUUCUAGAACUUUGCCACUUCCCUGCAUCAAGAGGGUUUGUCUUGGUCCAUUUUAUGCUGCUAUAACAGAACACCACAGACUGAGAAAUUUAUAAGGAAUAGAAGUUUAUUUGCCUCAUGUUUCUGGAGGCUGGGAAUUCCAAGAUCAAGGGGCUGCAUAGAUUGAGGUCCUUUUUGCUGACUCAUAACGUGGAAAGAGAGUGCACUGCAUAGAAGAAAGGAGGCCAAACUCAUUCUUUUAUCAUGAGCCUACUCCUGAAAUAACUCACUCUCAAGAUAAUGGCAUUAAUCCAUUCAUGAAGGCAGAAUACUCAUGAUGUAAUCACCUCUUAAAAGGUCCUAUUUCCUAACACUGUUGCAUUAGGGAUUAAGCUGUCAACACAUGAAUAUUGGGGGACACAUUCAAACCAUAGCAAGAGUUCUUUGUCUUUGUGACUCGGUGUGGUUCAGCAAAUUGCGAUUGGUCUGCUAUAGCGGACUUUCCCCUCACCUCCCAAAUGUUUAUUAUGAAAAAUUUCAUUUUAAAGAAAGGUGGAAGGAAUUGUUGAAAGAAUAUGUCAUCUAGUUUCUACUGUUGUUAACAUUGUGUCAUAUUUGCCUUUUCAUCCAUCCAACCACCCAUCCAUCUAGCUACCUUAUAAUUACUAUUAUUACUUAUUAUUACUAUUAUUUUUAAAGACACCUCUAUUAAAGCAACCAUCUUAUUUUUUGAUUUUAUUUAUUUUCAAAGUUAGUUGCAGACAUUAGUAUACUUUACUCCUAGACAUUUUAGCGUGAACAUAAUUAACUGGAGUAUAAUACUUGUUUUCAAUUUCUUUUUAUUUUUGAGGUAAAAUUUACAUACAGUGAAAUCCAAAUCUUAAGUGUACCACUAGAUAAAUUUUGAUAAAUGCAUUAUGCCUGGUCUUCACACACCCUUUUCAAUAUAUAGAAAAUUUCCAGAUAAUUUAUUUUGUUGUUUUUUUCACACACUAAGUUCUAGACUUUUCCAGGUCCGAGGGAACUAUUAGGGGGGAAAGUACUUGUUAUAGUAAAAAAGAUUUUAGGUGUGUUUGUUUUUAAGGUGCAGAAACACAUCGCAGAUUAAGGUCUGCAUCUCUGCUUUUUGUUAUUGUUCCAGUUUGAUCUCAGUGACAUUACAAGCAAGCAGAAACACUCAGACAUGAAAUGGCCAGUGCCUGUGAGUUAAGAGCAGGAUCUAGGUCUAUUUUUUUGAUAUGUAUCUCAACUACCUGGAAUACUUUAUACUUUUGGCACUCAAUAAAUAUUUGUUGCUGCCAGACGAUCUGCCACAAAAA